rnacentral:rRNA from 1 species
AAUGGGCGAAAGCCUGACGGAGCGACACCGCGUGCAGGAUGAAGGCCUUAGGGUCGUAAACUGCUGUCACGCCCUAGGAAGACCUGUCGUUAAUACCGGCAGGUGUGACCAAGGCGAAGGGAAGCACCGGCUAACUCCGUGCCAGCAGCCGCGGUAAUACGGAGGGUGAAAACGUUGUUCGGAAUCACUGGGCAUAAAGAGCACGUAGGCGGCCCAGCCAGUCUGGUGUGAAAUCCCCCGGCUCAACCGGGGAACUGCAUCGGAUACUGCUGGGCUCGAGGAUAGCAGGGGUGAGUGGAACUCCAGGUGGAGCGGUGAAAUGCGUAGAUAUCUGGAGGAACACCGGUGGCGAAAGCGGCUCACUGGGCUAUCUCUGACGCUGAGGUGCGAAAGCCAGGGGAGCAAACGGGAUU